rnacentral:lncRNA from 1 species
UCCACAUUCAAAACCUUGUACACACAUAUUCACUGGAGUCUGCUGCAUCUUUUGGCAUAGGCCACGCCCAUUUGCGUCUAGAUUUUUUCGCAAAUCGCGAAAACCGCAAAACUGUUUUUUUCCCUAGUCCUCCCACAUUUCUUGACCAAUCGACACAAACUUUGCACACAACAUCUUCAGACGCACACGCAAAGAAUGCAUGAAACACUUUUUUGAUCCGUCCUUCGAUACGAAACGGUAGCGUUUUGAAUAUUGGUUUAUUAGCUAAUUAGACGUGGAAUAGCAAAAAUCCAAAGAAAUCCAAAUGAGACAUCGGAUCGAGUCCAAAUUUUACACACAAUGUUGGUGCUAACCUUACUGUGGUUCGAUAAAAAUUUCGGAAAAUUUCGCCAUUAGGGGGCGCAAUAACGAGGAAAUUGUAUAUCUUCUAAUGGGCCAAAGGAAUGUUCUUCAACUCAGGGAAAACCAUCAAGGGGCAAACCCGAGUCUAUGUAGAAAAUAUGGCCAAGAAUUAUUAAUGUGGGCGGGAGUUAUUUUGCAAAGGAAAAUUGUCCUUUGGAAAAUUUCGCCACAAGGGGGGGGUGCAAAAAAACGACGACAUGUCUAUCACCUAUUUGGCCAAUGGAAUGUUCUGAAAACGCGUUUUUUAGGCUAUAACUCCCACACCGAAGCUCCCACAGUCAAAACCUUUAUAUCCACAGAUUCACUGGAGUCUGCUGCAUCUUUUGGCAUAGGCCACGCCCAUUUGCGUCUAGAAUUUUUUUUCGCUAAAUCGCGAAAACCGCAAAACUGUUUUUUCGCUACUCCUCCCACAUUUCUUGACCAAUUGACACCAAACUUUGCACACGGCAUCUUCAGACGCACACGCAAAUAA